rnacentral:tRNA from 4 species
UCCCCGAUAGCUCAAUUGGUAGAGCGAGCGGCUGUUAACCGCUAGGUUGCUGGUUCGAGUCCAGCUCGGGGAG